AGAGCGAACGCUGGCGGCAGGCUUAACACAUGCAAGUCGAGCGGGCGUAGCAAUACGUCAGCGGCAGACGGGUGAGUAACGCGUGGGAACGUACCUUUUGGUUCGGAACAACACAGGGAAACUUGUGCUAAUACCGGAUAAGCCCUUACGGGGAAAGAUUUAUCGCCGAAAGAUCGGCCCGCGUCUGAUUAGCUAGUUGGUGAGGUAACGGCUCACCAAGGCGACGAUCAGUAGCUGGUCUGAGAGGAUGAUCAGCCACAUUGGGACUGAGACACGGCCCAAACUCCUACGGGAGGCAGCAGUGGGGAAUAUUGGACAAUGGGCGAAAGCCUGAUCCAGCCAUGCCGCGUGAGUGAUGAAGGCCCUAGGGUUGUAAAGCUCUUUUGUGCGGGAAGAUAAUGACGGUACCGCAAGAAUAAGCCCCGGCUAACUUCGUGCCAGCAGCCGC
rnacentral:rRNA from 1 species